rnacentral:rRNA from 1 species
GAUGAACGCUGGCGGCGUGCCUAAUACAUGCAAGUCGAGCGAACGGACGAGAAGCUUGCUUCUCUGAUGUUAGCGGCGGACGGGUGAGUAACACGUGGAUAACCUACCUAUAAGACUGGGAUAACUUCGGGGAACCGGAGCUAAUACCGGAUGAUAUUUUGAACCGCAUGGUUCAAAAGUGAAAGACGGUCUUGCUGUCACUUAUAGAUGGAUCCGCGCUGCAUUAGCUAGUUGGUAAGGUAACGGCUUACCAAGGCAACGAUGCAUAGCCGACCUGAGAGGGUGAUCGGCCACACUGGAACUGAGACACGGUCCAGACUCCUACGGGAGGCAGCAGUAGGGAAUCUUCCGCAAUGGGCGAAAGCCUGACGGAGCAACGCCGCGUGAGUGAUGAAGGUCUUCGGAUCGUAAAACUCUGUUAUUAGGGAAGAACAUAUGUGUAAGUAACUGUGCACAUCUUGACGGUACCUAAUCAGAAAGCCACGGCUAACUACGUGCCAGCAGCCGCGGUAAUACGUAGGUGGCAAGCGUUAUCCGGAAUUAUUGGGCGUAAAGCGCGCGUAGGCGGUUUUUUAAGUCUGAUGUGAAAGCCCACGGCUCAACCGUGGAGGGUCAUUGGAAACUGGAAAACUUGAGUGCAGAAGAGGAAAGUGGAAUUCCAUGUGUAGCGGUGAAAUGCGCAGAGAUAUGGAGGAACACCAGUGGCGAAGGCGACUUUCUGGUCUGUAACUGACGCUGAUGUGCGAAAGCGUGGGGAUCAAACAGGAUUAGAUACCCUGGUAGUCCACGCCGUAAACGAUGAGUGCUAAGUGUUAGGGGGUUUCCGCCCCUUAGUGCUGCAGCUAACGCAUUAAGCACUCCGCCUGGGGAGUACGACCGCAAGGUUGAAACUCAAAGGAAUUGACGGGGACCCGCACAAGCGGUGGAGCAUGUGGUUUAAUUCGAAGCCACGCGAAGAACCUUACCAAAUCUUGACAUCCUUUGACAACUCUAGAGAUAGAGCCUUCCCCUUCGGGGGACAAAGUGACAGGUGGUGCAUGGUUGUCGUCAGCUCGUGUCGUGAGAUGUUGGGUUAAGUCCCGCAACGAGCGCAACCCUUAAGCUUAGUUGCCAUCAUUAAGUUGGGCACUCUAAGUUGACUGCCGGUGACAAACCGGAGGAAGGUGGGGAUGACGUCAAAUCAUCAUGCCCCUUAUGAUCUGGGCUACACACGUGCUACAAUGGACAAUACAAAGGGCAGCGAAACCGCGAGGUCAAGCAAAUCCCAUAAAGUUGUUCUCAGUUCGGAUUGUAGUCUGCAACUCGACUACAUGAAGCUGGAAUCGCUAGUAAUCGUAGAUCAGCAUGCUACGGUGAAUACGUUCCCGGGUCU